rnacentral:rRNA from 1 species
CGCGUGUACUGGUCCGGCCGGGUCUUUCCCUCUGUGGAACCCCAUGCCCUUCACUGGGUGUGGCGGGGAAACAGGACUUUUACUUUGAAAAAAUUAGAGUGCUCCAGGCAGGCCUAUGCUCGAAUACAUUAGCAUGGAAUAAUGAAAUAGGACGUGCGGUUCUAUUUUGUUGGUUUCUAGGACCGCCGUAAUGAUUAAUAGGGACAGUCGGGGGCAUCAGUAUUCAAUUGUCAGAGGUGAAAUUCUUGGAUUUAUUGAAGACUAACUACUGCGAAAGCAUUUGCCAAGGAUGUUUUCAUUAAUCAGGAACGAAAGUUAGGGGAUCGAAGACGAUCAGAUACCGUCGUAGUCUUAACCAUAAACUAUGCCGACUAGGGAUCGGACGAUGUUAUUUAUUGACUCGUUCGGCACCUUACGAGAAAUCAAAGUGCUUGGGCUCCAGGGGGAGUAUGGUCGCAAGGCUGAAACUUAAAGAAAUUGACGGAAGGGCACCACCAGGGGUGGAGCCUGCGGCUUAAUUUGACUCAACACGGGGAAACUCACCAGGUCCAGACACAAUGAGGAUUGACAGAUUGAGAGCUCUUUCUUGAUUUUGUGGGUGGUGGUGCAUGGCCGUUCUUAGUUGGUGGAGUGAUUUGUCUGCUUAAUUGCGAUAACGAACGAGACCUUAACCUGCUAAAUAGCCCGUAUUGCUUUGGCAGUACGCCGGCUUCUUAGAGGGACUAUCGG